ACUUCUCUGUAGUGCUGAUUCUCCCCUGCUGGAGGAGACACCGAUGACUCACCUGAGUAUCUGCACAGUCCUGAGUGAAACCAGAGCUUUGGUUGUGCAGCCGAUGCCAGGAACUGGAGUACAGACCUCACAACAAAACUCCAUAUCUGGGCCAAUGACAGCUGGACCAUUUGCCCACACAGAACAGAACUUCAGAGGCCGAGUGAAGCCAGACCUGAGCUGGAGACCAGCAGCAGGGGCUGGGGCAGCUUCUCCUCCCAAGACACAGAGCAAGGGCCUGCUCAGUUGCACCAGUGCUGGAGAAACACGUUGAAACAGCUAUUUCAGGUUCAUUCUUGGCUCUGCUCCAUGGGAGAACAGAUCUGGACACUUACUGAGGCAUUUCAACUGCAGGGACUUCUGAUUGAAGCCUAAGACUCAAAAUUGGCUUUUGGCUCCACAUUUCUGCUCUGUAUUGCUUAAGCUUUUCAGAGAACAAUAGCAGGCUAUUCUAUUGCUACAGUACUACAGUAACAUUCGCCAAAAUAAACCAUCGGCUGGAAAAGCU